UGAAGAGAUCAAACUUGUAGUGUCUCGUGAAAGUGGAAGGAGAGGACCACAUGGCAGGCCUGCAGAUUUCAUCCAAGGGGGCAUUGGUGGAAAAGGCUGCAGAAGUGGCUGCCAAACAAGUGGAAUGGGCUGUGACUUGCAAAAGAGGUGGAAGAUGCUGGGCGUCAGCGCAAUGCACGUCUUGAUCCAAUGGGCCAAGGCAGAGGAAGACAAGGGUUGGCCCAUGGUGGCUGGGAGAAACAAAACAAAAAGAGACACUUUUGACCAGAAAGCAGAAGUCCUGAAGAUACAGAUUUUUAGGUAACAAUGUACGUCAGGUUUAUGCCACUGUUUCUCCUUGGGUGCAGUAGGCCUGGGACAGAAGGAAGGGGGAACUACAACUUGUGACCUGUGUAAGACUCAUGAGACUUUCAGGAGAACAAAUGGGUCGAGAAUCAGCCAGAGUUGUGGGAGAAGACACAGAGUCAAGGAUUCACAGAGAGGGCCCUGAGUUCCGAGAUCCUCCUGGCAGAAGUGAUGGCGAUACGGAAGAUGAGCUCGAAGGAAAGCAUCCGCAGUGGAACAGAUUGUAUGGGUUCAAAGGGAGGAGCAUGAAGGACUCGAAGGACUUUGUGGAGUUCCCAGGAGGAAAAUCUGUGGACCACUGGAGGAAAAGACAGCAUGGCACCCCAAAGGAAGCGACUAAGUGAAGGAUGAAGUCCUAAUGGAAUACAGCAGCCCACAGAUGUCAAAAAGACACCACCAUCACCCCUUCAACAUUCCCACUGAAAAAUACCUCAUUUUUAAAGCAGUUGCUCAGCUAUUUGAGAAUUAGGCCUGGGCUGUACUGCCCCUGGAGCAUGUGUCUCUGAGGAAAGGGAUGGGACAAUGCACUAAGAAGAGGAUGGACAUGGUUGGGAUGGCUCUGAAUGGCAAUAAAGACUUGACUUAGGUUUUCAGUA